rnacentral:lncRNA from 1 species
AUUUGGUAGAAAUACCAAAAAUACCCUUCAGUGGCAAGUUACCGUGCAAUUCAAUCCUUCAAUCAAACUGCAUCCCGAAUAUGUAUAUGAGUAUGAAUAGAUGUCAAACUCAAUUUCAUAUUCAUAUUUCUCUUAAUCUUCUAAUGAUAAUUCGAAUCAUGAAACAUUAGAAACUCUUUCUAAUUUUCAUUCUGCUUUGAUCAAAG